AUGGUCUAGUGUGAAAAACUCCGGUGGUGUGAGAUGGACCCGCGUUUGAUUAGCUAGUUGGUGGGGUAACGGCCUACCAAGGCGACGAUCAAUAGCCGACCUGAGAGGGUGACCGGCCACAUUGGGACUGAGACACGGCCCAAACUCCUACGGGAGGCAGCAGUGGGGAAUAUUGCACAAUGGGGGAAACCCUGAUGCAGCGACGCCGCGUGAGUGAAGAAGUAUUUCGGUAUGUAAAGCUCUAUCAGCAGGGAAGAAAAUGACGGUACCUGACUAAGAAGCCCCGGCUAACUACGUGCCAGCAGCCGCGGUAAUACGUAGGGGGCAAGCGUUAUCCGGAUUUACUGGGUGUAAAGGGAGCGUAGACGGCAAAGCAAGUCUGAAGUGAAAGCCCGGGGCUCAACCCCGGGACUGCUUUGGAAACUGUUUAACUAGAGUGCUGGAGAGGUAAGCGGAAUUCCUAGUGUAGCGGUGAAAUGCGUAGAUAUUAGGAGGAACACC
rnacentral:rRNA from 1 species